UCCCUGGUGGUCCAGUGGUUAGGGCUCAGUGCUCUCACUGCCAGGGCCUGGGUUCAAUUCCUGGUCAAGGAA
rnacentral:tRNA from 1 species